rnacentral:snoRNA from 1 species
AAGACUAUACUUUCAGGGAUCAUUUCUAUAGUUCUUUCUAUAGUUCCUUAUAAGAAGAAUCCUAUAAGAUCAACGGAAAAUAAUGGGCUUACUGGGCGGAGGGAGGGGGGAUUUUUCUUUUCUUAAGUUUUGAAUCUGUGCUGAGCUAUGGAGAAUUCCAGUAUCAUAUUGGGAUUCCAACAGGGAACAUCCUGUCUAAUUGCCACCAGUACAGGCAACAACAUGGU